rnacentral:rRNA from 1 species
UACGGGGGGGGGCGAGCGUUUGUUCGGAAUUACUGGGCGUAAAGGGCUCGUAGGCGGCCAACUAAGUCAGACGUGAAAUCCCUCAGCUUAACUGGGGAACUGCGUCUGAUACUGGAUGGCUUGGAUUCGGGAGAGGAAUGCGGAAUUCCAGGUGUAGCGGUGAAAUGCGUAGAUAUCUGGAGGAACACCGGUGGCGAAGGCGGCAUUCUGGACCGACAUUGACGCUGAGGAGCGAAAGCCAGGGGAGCAAAGCGGG